rnacentral:rRNA from 1 species
CCCAGACUCCUACGGGAGGCAGCAGUGGGGAAUAUUGCACAAUGGGGGGAACCCUGAUGCAGCGACGCCGCGUGAGUGAAGAAGUAUUUCGGUAUGUAAAGCUCUAUCAGCAGGGAGGAAAAUGACGGUACCUGACUAAGAAGCCCCGACUAACUACGUGCCAGCAGCCGCGGUAAUACGUAGGGGGCAAGCGUUAUCCGGAUUUACUGGGUGUAAAGGGGGCGCAGACGGCGAUGCAAGCCAGGAGUGAAAGCCCGGGGCCCAACCCCGGGACUGCUCUUGGAACUGCGUGGCUGGAGUGCAGGAGGGGCAGGCGGAAUUCCUGGUGUAGCGGUGAAAUGCGUAGAUAUCAGGAGGAACACCGGUGGCGAAGGCGGCCUGCUGGACUGCAACUGACGUUGAGGCCCGAAAGCGUGGGGGGCAAACAGGAUUAGAUACCCGUGUAAG